CGCUGGCGGCGUGCUUAACACAUGCAAGUCGAACGAUGAACCGGAGCUUGCUCCGGGGAUUAGUGGCGAACGGGUGAGUAACACGUGGGCAACCUGCCCCAGACACCGGGAUAACCUUCCGAAAGGAUGGCUAAUACCGGAUACGACCACUUCGGGCAUCCGACGGUGGUGGAAAGGAUUCUGGUCUGGGAUGGGCCCGCGGCCUAUCAGCUUGUUGGUGGGGUAAUGGCCUACCAAGGCGACGACGGGUAGCCGGCCUGAGAGGGCGACCGGCCACACUGGGACUGAGACACGGCCCAGACUCCUACGGGAGGCAGCAGUGGGGAAUAUUGCGCAAUGGGCGAAAGCCUGACGCAGCGACGCCGCGUGAGGGACGAAGGUCUUCGGAUUGUAAACCUCUUUCAGCAGGGACGAAGCGAAAGUGACUGUACCUGCAGAAGAAGCACCGGCUAACUACGUG
rnacentral:rRNA from 1 species